GGGCCCGUAGCUUAGCCAGGUAGAGCGCCCUGGGGCGAACCGGGAGGUCCCGGGUUCAAAUCCCGGCGGGCCCACCA
rnacentral:tRNA from 2 species